rnacentral:rRNA from 1 species
UACGAAGGGGGCUAGCGUUGUUCGGAAUCACUGGGCGUAAAGCGCACGUAGGCGGAUCUUUAAGUCAGGGGUGAAAUCCCGAGGCUCAACCUCGGAACUGCCUUUGAUACUGGGGAUCUCGAGUCCGGGAGAGGUGAGUGGAACUGCGAGUGUAGAGGUGAAAUUCGUAGAUAUUCGCAAGAACACCAGUGGCGAAGGCGGCUCACUGGCCCAGAACUGACGCUGAGGUGCGAAAGCGUGGGGAGCAAACAGG